AGCGAACGCUGGCGGCGUGCUUAACACAUGCAAGUCGUGGGAGAACGGGAACCUUCGGGUUCCUCAGUAAACCGGCGCACGGGUGAGUAACACGUAGGUAACCUACCCCAGAGUCUGGGAUAACCUGUCGAAAGACAGGCUAAUACCGGAUAUGACCACGAAGGUUUCGGCCUUUGGGGUGAAAGAUGGCCUCUUCAUGAAAGCUAUCGCUCCAGGAUGGGCCUGCGCGUCAUUAGCUUGUUGGUGGGGUAAUGGCCUACCAAGGCGACGAUGACUAGCUGGUCUGAGAGGAUGAUCAGCCACACUGGGACUGAGACACGGCCCAGACUCCUACGGGAGGCAGCAGUGGGGAAUAUUGCGCAAUGGGGGAAACCCUGACGCAGCGACGCCGCGUGAGUGAUGAAGGCCCUCGGGUCGUAAAGCUCUGUCGGAAGGGAAGAACGUUUGUCGGUCAAAUAGGCCGAUAGACUGACGGUACCUUCAAAGGAAGCACCGGCUAACUCCGUG
rnacentral:rRNA from 1 species